UUUUAAUUGAGAGUUUGAUCCUGGCUCAGGAUGAACGCUGGCGGCGUGGAUAAGGCAUGCAAGUCGAACGAAACAUGUUAAUUUAAUAUGUUUAGUGGCAGACGGGGUAGUAACACGUAGGAACUCACCCCAGAGACGGGUAUAAUCCGGCGAAAGCCGGACUAAUUCCCGAUAGUUCCCGAAAGGGUAAAGGCAGUAAUGCGCUCUGGGAGAGGCCUGCGGGCUAUCAGCUAGUUGGCGGGGUAAUGGCCCACCAAGGCGACGACGGCUAGGGGGAGUGAGAGCUUGGC
rnacentral:rRNA from 1 species